ensembl:misc_RNA 7SK 7SK RNA
UUAUGUGAGGGCGAUCUGGCUGCAACAUCUGUCACCCCGUUGAUCACCAAGCUUUAUUAGGCGGAUCUGGCCGGCUAGACGGGUGUCCCCUUCCUCCCUCAACACUCCAUGUACGUCCCUCCCAAAGCUAAGCACUCAGUUGAAGGGGACGACCUUCCCUGAUAGAGGAGGACCACUCUUUGGUCAAGGGUAUUCGGGUAGCUGUCCUCCCCUGCUAGAACUUCCAAACAAGCUGUCAAGGUCCACUUGUAGGAGAACGCAGGGUAGUCAAGCUCCCAAGAUUCCUGACACAUCCAAACAAGGUGCUGCACGUGGCAGUCUGCCUUUU